rfam:Colletotrichum orchidophilum strain IMI 309357 Scaffold_53.1, whole genome shotgun sequence.
UCCCCGAUAGUCUAGUGGUGAGGAUAUCUGCUUGUCAUUGAAUGGUCAGCGAUUCGCAGGGGACCGGGGUUCAAUUCCCCGUCGAGGAG